GCCUGGGUGUCUCAGUUGGUUGAGCACCUGAUUUCGGCUCAGGUCAUGGUCUUGUGGUUUUUGGGUUCGAGCCCCACAUCAGGCU
rnacentral:tRNA from 1 species